rnacentral:rRNA from 1 species
UGGGGAAUUUUGGACAAUGGGCGAAAGCCUGAUCCAGCAAUGCCGCGUGUGUGAAGAAGGCCUUCGGGUUGUAAAGCACUUUUGUCCGGAAAGAAAUCCUUGGCUCUAAUACAGUCGGGGGAUGACGGUACCGGAAGAAUAAGCACCGGCUAACUACGUGCCAGCAGCCGCGGUAAUACGUAGGGUGCAAGCGUUAAUCGGAAUUACUGGGCGUAAAGCGUGCGCAGGCGGUUUGCUAAGACCGAUGUGAAAUCCCCGGGCUCAACCUGGGAACUGCAUUGGUGACUGGCAGGCUAGAGUGUGGCAGAGGGGGGUAGAAUUCCACGUGUAGCAGUGAAAUGCGUAGAGAUGUGGAGGAAUACCGAUGGCGAAGGCAGCCCCCUGGGCCAAUACUGACGCUCAUGCACGAAAGCGUGGGGAGCAAACAGGAUUAGAUACCCUGGUAGUCCACGCCCUAAACGAUGUCAACUAGUUGUUGGGGAUUCAUUUCCUUAGUAACGUAGCUAACGCGUGAAGUUGACCGCCUGGGGAGUACGGUCGCAAGAUUAAAACUCAAAGGAAUUGAC